AUGGGCUGCGCGCCCUCGCACGACGCCUUCAAGGCCACCGCGGCCGCCGCGGCCAGGGAGACGCUGCGCCGGGCCACGACGGGGGCCGCCGCCGCCUCGUCCUCGCGGCGGGCGCGGGGCCCCGCCGCGCAGUGCCGGCAGCGGGUGGCGCUGAUCCGGGCCGCGGCGGACAGGCGCUUCGCGCUGGCGGCGGCGCACGCGGCCUACUUCCGCUCGCUCGUCGCCGUUGGCGGCGCGCUGCGGCGCUUCGCCGCGGCCGCGCUGCUCCCGGCCACCCCCGACCCCGCCGCCUCGCCCGUGCUCACCCUUCCGCCGUCCCCCGACGCCAAGCCGCCGCAGCCCGCCGUCGCCUCCUCCUCCGCCGCCGCCGCGUCGAGCCUCCCGCCGUCCCCGGACUCCUCCUCCUCCACCGUCUCGCCCCUCUCCCACUCCCUCUCCGACUCCGACGACGACGAGAACAAGCACCUCCACGCGCUCGACCACUCCCGUCGCGCCCGCGUCCGCGGCCACGCGCCGCCCCCGACGACGCAGCACCACCGCCACCACAUGAGGAACUCCGCCACCGUGCCCACGGUGGUCUACGAGGACCCCUACGCCGAGUACGCCGAGGGCGCGGCCAGCUACGGCUACGGGUCCGCCUACACGUACGGCCCCUACGGCGAGCCGGUCGCGGAGGAGGCGAGGCCGCGCGGCCCGCCGCCCACGCCGCCGCCCCCGGAGGCCUCGCCGUGGGACUUCUUAGACCUCUUCACGCCCACGCCCUACGACCAGUUCCUGGAGGACUACCCGCGCGGCAUGCCCGGCGAGACCGCCGACGCGAAUCGGAAUCUGCCCACCAGCAGCCCCAAUUACGCCAAUUACGCCGAGCUGAGGAGGAUGGAGGGGAUCCCGGAGCUUGAGGACGAGUCUAAGCUGGAGCCGUCAACCUCGGCCGUCGUUCAAGAUCAGAACGUGAAGGGGAACAGACCAGCUCCUGGUCCUGCCACCAAUGCCGCCCCUCCCAAGGGCACCUCCUCCACUGAGGUGAAGCUGCAGAGCAAGGGAUCACCUGGUGCCAAUGCUGAGGCGAAUAAGCCGCUCUCAAGGAACGAUUCAGUGCCGAGCAAUGCCGGCUCCGAUACGAACAGCAAGAAAGGGGGCAGGAGCGAUGCAGUGAGCUUGAACGGCGCCAACUUUGGUGACAUUGCUGGCGGCAACUCCUCCGAGAACAACAAGAAGAAGAAGGGUGUACCAUUUGGUGAGAAUGGUGACAACAUUGUCGGCAGCAGCUCCACCGGGAAGAAGGGUGCUGCGGUUGAUGAGGCCGGGUCGAUUGUCGAUGCAGAUGGCGCUGGGGGGAGCCACGGCAAGUCAGUGCGGUCGGCCAUGACAGUGAGCAGCGAGUCCUUCUCGCCGUUGCACAAUGGGGAGAGAGAUGUCGUGGAGGCGAUGGAGGAGGUCAAGGAGCGAUUCGAGGAGGCGCUGCAUUGCGGCGAUGAGGUCUCCAGGAUGCUCGAGGUGGGGAAGGUGCCUCACCGGACGGCGCCUAAAGUUCUUAGAUAUUUCUCCUCCAGGGUGAUGGAGCCUAUGUCGCUUAGUGUGCCGUCCUCUUCUUACUGCGUUCCAAAGCGGGAAAGGCGCUCAAGGUUACCGAGCACUUCAGCUUCAUCGGCCAAUGGCGGAGGAAAUCGCAACGGAAGUCUCUGUUCAACUCUGGAGAAGCUCUGUGUAUGGGAAAAGAAGCUAUAUCAGGAGGUUAAGGAUGAAGAGAAGCUGAGGACUCUGUAUGAAAAGAAGUACAACAGGCUGAAGUCGCUAGACGAACAAGGGGCAGAGCCGGAUGCGAUAGAGACGGCCAGAUCGUCGGUGCGGGACUUGCGGUCGAAGAUCACCAUCAACAUCAAAACAGCCAAGGCUUUCUCGUCGAAGAUAGAGAAAAUUCGGGACGAAGAACUGUACCCUCAGCUCGUUGAUCUUAUCCAGGGAUUGCGGAGGAUGUGGAAAGCAGUUCUGGAAUGCCAUGAGAAGCAGCUGUCGGCCAUAAGGGACAGCAGGCUGCACCUGCUCAAGGCGAGGACCGUGAGCCAAUCCGCCGCCGCCACAUUGGCCACGCUGGAGCUGGAGAGGGAGCUCACGAAAUGGUACCGCUGCUUCAACAAGUGGACCAGCUCGCAGAGGUCUUAUGUGGAGGCACUGAAUGGAUGGCUGAGGAGAUGGUUCCCGGAGGUGCAGGACGAGCAAGACGCGCCGGACGGCGCCCCGCCUUUCUCCCCGGGCAAGCUCGGCGCCCGGCCGAUAUUCGUCGUGUCGAACGACUGGUUCCGGGCCAUCGAUCUGGUGCCCAAGAGCGACGCGCUGAAGUCGAUCGACUACUUCUACAAGCUCGUCCAUGAGCUCAGGAAGAGGCAGGAGGACGAGGACCGGCAGAAGAGGAAGGUCGACCACGCCUCCAGGGACUACAACAAAAGGCGCGAGGCCCUGCAGCGAGAGCUUGGCCCGGGCACGGGCACCGACAUGGUCACCCUCCCGGAGAACCGUGGUGAUCACACCGUCGAUCUGCACAAGAUGAGGAGGAAACUGGACAACGAGAUGGCCAAGCACGACGAGGUGGUGAGGCAUGUCCAUUUUGCGGCGUCGGCCACUCUGCCGGUCGGCUUCGUCCCCGCGCUGGAGCAGAUCGUCGGCUUCUUCCAUGGCAACCUGCAGGUCUACGCGCGCAUCAGGACCAACGGCGCCGGAGCUCACGGGGCGCCUACAGAGGUUCGCCGGCCACACCUUGGCUGA
rnacentral:rRNA from 1 species